UUUUGUAUCGUGCCUUUAUUAUUAUAAUUACUAUUAAAAUGUUUAAAUAAAAUAUUGAAGUAAGUAAUAAGUAGGUAAUACAAAAAACUAUGGUAUAAGGCCCAACUGAUGGUGUAUUUGAUAUUAGGACAUGAAUGCUAACUGGCCUUAUUGCAUCAAGCCCAACCGAAAAAUGAAACCAACACCAACUGAACUUGAGGCAAACAUGAAGGACCUUGGAAAUGAAUGGGCCUGAACGACCCAAACCCUAAAUCAUGCUAUUAAAACCUUGAAGAGAAAUUCAACGGGAAAAUGUACGGACUUCCCACGGUAUUAGCAGCACACCAAUAAUAAAUAAAAUAUAUUGUUAUCAGUUCACGUGAGGACCAUCAUGAAGUGUACUGACUCAACAUUAUGACUUUCCAUAUUUCAAAGCAUCCCCUUUUAAUAAUAUUAAACAAUUGAUACCUAACAAUAAAUGAUAAUGGAGAAAAACAGAGCAAAUUCAUAUUUUAAAAAGCCAAACGUUCCUCUCUCUCUCACAACCGCGCCUCUCUUUCUCUCACCUUGUUUCUUUCACUCUCAACCAUAUCAUGACAUGAAGACACAAUCCUAUUUUCGUUCCAAAUCCAAAUUCCCUUAUUGAUUCUAACACAUAAACAUCCAAAUACAAUAGAUCUACACAAAUUCGACUAAGUUUCAAACAACCUAAAACAACAAAACUUCAUAUGAUUCAAGGCAAUAUAGUGAAUAACAAGACGAGGUAACAUAUAUGCGAUGAAAUACAUGUAUAGUUGGGAAACUGAGAUGAAACAAAGCUCGCCGGAAAACGAAGUUUCCGACAAGGUUACCGACUGUGAGAUCUGACCUUGAGGUAUAUUGCUUCCUUUUUGUUUUUCUGGAAUCCUCUUCUUCUUAUAACUUCUUUGAAUCGGUUUGUUGUGGAGUCGGUAAGGCAGUGGUUUAGCUCGGUUUGCUCAAAGUUCUGGUGAUGAACUCUGAGUAUCCCUUUGGUAUCUUUGAGCUUUGGUGUGUAGGUUGGGAUGCGAUUUCAGCAGAGUGACUGUAUUUUUUCUCCUUUUUUUCAAUCGACUAGAUCCUGCUUUUAUAGAGUGAAAUGAGGUCUUCAAAUCAUGAGCUGGCAGAGAUUUGUUGAAUCAAUCCGUUAGCCAAAAGAAUCUCGUCCAAAUUUGGUGGUCCCCCAUUUUGACGUGGUCCCCAAAAUGAAGGUCUCAUGAUUAUCAAAAUGAUGCCACAUUCGCUAGUGCUUGAUUUGGUAGGUAUGUUGCUCAUGUUGGAAUUAGAUGGUUACCCGUUGUAGGACAUGUGAUUUAUGGUGUGGAAAACCAAGGGCAUGCUGCAAGUUUGGGGUUUUUGACUUGGAUGGUAAUGCAGGCUUUGGAACAAGCUGGCAUAGUUUGCAGAAAUGGAUGCAGGGGAAUGUUGGGCAAGUAUUAUGGCUAUGCAGCUUCAGGGUUUUGCCUUGACUGAUUAUUGUAGGUUGCAACUUGAGUGGAAUUGGGCUUCACAUGAAUGAUGUCGUCCUAAGAAACUUUACCCUCCAAUGUUGACCUAGCUAAUUGCAGUGAAUUGAACCUUUGUGAAUUAGGUUAGGCAAUGUUAUGUGUGUUGGUUGUAGUUAGUGCAGGUUGCAUGUUUUGGAUUGAUGCACAUUGCUUGACAAUUUUAGGUUGGUAAUUCGGAUGGAAGCAAGGCAGUGCAAACUGAUUGAUUGAUCAAGAUGAAUUGUUGCUUUUAUGUUGCAGGUUGAAAAUUGAUCAUUGAAUAUGCUAACUGAUAUGCCUUGGAAUUUUCUUGUGAGCGUUGCUGAGACUUUUGUUGAACCUUCUUUUGAUGCUUGAUUUAUACUUCGACAAUAGGUUGGGUUCUACAGUUAGGCCUUCUAACUUUAUUGAUCAUGCUGUCUUGCUAAAGAUUCCCUCACCCAUUGGCUUGUAUAUCAGGUCCUGCAGCGGGUUUGUGGCAGGUCUGGUCAACGUGUUUGCCAUCCUAAUCCGUGCAUCAUGUUUGAUAACAGGUUCCAACAUAAUAGGUCUUUGUCAUGGUUUAGUUUCCUGCUACAAGAUGGUCAUGGAAAAUACGCAGCAUAGCCAUUUGGAAGCUCAUGGCCCAACAAGUGAGUGAAACGCAUGUUGAAAUGGCAUCAACUGCGGGGGUUUUUUUGUGAGCAGGGGGUCUAUAAGGAUAUGUCAAUGGAGGGGGGUUUUGUGGCGAUAUCGAUUAAUUUUCCUGCUUGGCUCUAACCUUUCUCACUAUGGUUAGCAUGACGUGUGACAGGCCCUUUGGAUUGUGCAGGUUGGACCUGCUCGUUAGGACAUAUCUUGCGACUUCUUGGGGUGAUUCGAAGAAUUGAGUGCAGGGUGCAGUCGUUGCAAAUUGACGUAGCUUCGGUGUUUUUUUGAAAUGUACUUUUCAUUUGGCUUGUCUUAUAAUGUCACUUAGGAACUAAGGUUGCUUAUGAUUGAUUGUAUGAUGCGUUCUUGUUAAUGGUAAUUGAAACAAUUAUGUUUGUAAAAAUCCAAAACUUGUUCAGCUAAUGUAAUUCUACAUUGAUACUUUUAAA